GGAUAAAGCAAAGAAAAUAACAUUUAAUACUGAGUGAAUACAUCCUCUUCCCUUCUUAAGAAUUCUGUUUUCUUAUCUAUAAAAUAAGGGAUAAAUGGAGGGAUUAGCUCUUCUCUAAAGUGAUUUCUACUGGAGGAAAUUCAUGGUACUAAGGACUCUGUAUCAAAAGCCCUUGCCUGGUACUUCAACGGUGCUCGGAAAAACAGGCAGCCUAUUUCUUCUCUUCCCUUUGUGGACUGAGACUUAAGAUUCUUUUGGUGGCCAAGACAGAAACUAAGGCUGGUUCUGGGGUUGCAGAAUGAAGAUAGAGAGAAAGGGGAGGAUAGCAGCCACAAUUUCAAGAGUGGCCAUUUAUAUAUUCCAAUCAAAGGGCCAGCCCUGAGAAACUGGGAAGGCAUGGAGGAGGAUGGUUAAUAACAAAACAGUUCAGGGAGAGAAUCUUGAACAAGCAUCUGACUGAGGAAAAGGCCUUAGUCAGGGAUGAGUUCUCACUGUGUUGCCUGGACUGGUCUCGAAAUCCUGACCUUAAGUAAUGCUUCUGCCUUGGCCUCCCAAAAUGCUGAAAUUACAGGCGUGAGCCAUCAUUCCCAGCCCAGCAGUCUUCAUCUUAAGAAGAAAGCUGCCCAGCAUCAGAGGGGUCAGGUUCCCUUCUAAACAGAAUAUGAUAAUGCUGGCCUGCCAAAACUACAGCUUCCCCUUUAGGAAAGAACUAUGGCAAUUCCAGAGUUCACAACUGCAUUCAGACCUGGCCUACAGAGCAUCUCACACUCACUGUGCUUGUGACAUUCCCUUGUACCAGGCCCUCCACAAAGAGCUGGGAUUUGAAUUCUUUGACGAAGCUCAGCAGAGACUCAAGGGAAAGGCCGUCCAUCAAAGCCUGGUACUUGUCAAUCAUAGACCAACGGGCAUAUUCCAAGAUUAAAAGCCGUACAU
rnacentral:lncRNA from 10 species